rnacentral:lncRNA from 1 species
AGAAGUGGUAUAACACUGAGAAUCAAAACACAAGAACUUUACGUGAGUAGACCUAAUCUCAACCAUAUGGACUAUAAAGUCUCAUCUACAUAAUUUAGCAUUACUACAUUUCUAAACUACCCACGAAACCACCAUAUGUCUGUGUGCAUUAGCUUUAAAUAUAUUCUGUACAAAGAAGGUUCAAUAUGCUUGUUAUACUUAUACCAGAAGUAUAUAAUUAGAUGUGGAAAUGGAAGCCAUUUUUUACAUAAAUUGGUGCCCACUGUGGGUGACAGUUCUUUCCAAUAGGUCCAACUACUGAUCUUGAAUUUAUUUUUUUGAAAGCGACAAUGGAAUUUGAUUAAAAGGGGAUAUUUGCAGUAAAAGUGAGCUGCAAUAAUCAAACUUUAACAAGAGGAGAAGUUGAGAUGAUAAAAGGUUCAUACAUAGCAUACCAGUUUGAAUAAUAUAAUUGAAUUAACCCAGUUUUAUAGUCCUAUCCAAAAGGAUUUGGAAGUUUAGUAAGAAAUUAUACAUCACUUGUAAUUUUAAAUGAAAGAAACACAUCACAUAUAAUUAUUUUAUGGACAUGAAAAGGAGAAACUCAAGUUCAGAAGGAGACUAACAAAAAUUCUAUGAUUUAUA